rnacentral:rRNA from 1 species
AACGGACGAGAGUCUGAACCAGCCAAAUCGCGUGAAGGAAGACUGCCCUACGGGUUGUAAACUUCUUUUGUACAGGAAUAAAAGACAUUACGUGUAAUGUAUUGCAUGUACUUUACGAAUAAGCAUCGGCUAACUCCGUGCCAGCAGCCGCGGUAAUACGGAGGAUGCGAGCGUUAUCCGGAUUUAUNGGGUUUAAAGGGUNCGUAGGUGGUUUGAUAAGUCAGCGGUGAAAGUUUGCAGCUUAACUGUAAAAAUGCCGUUGAAACUGUCGGACUUGAGUGUAAAUGAGGUAGGCGGAAUGCGUGGUGUAGCGGUGAAAUGCAUAGAUAUCACGCAGAACUCCGAUUGCGAAGGCAGCUUACUAAGCUACAACUGACACUGAGGCACGAAAGCGUGGGGAGCAAA